rnacentral:misc_RNA from 1 species
UUGCAAGUGAUAGGAAUGGAGGGCAAUUGAAAGUUGAGCAGGUAUGGUGUUGAAAAUGGUUAAUAUGUUUUUUUUGCUUGUAACUCAUAUUGCUGCUGUUACACUUAAUAAAUAACAAACAGACAACCUUUUUGAGUUUGAUUGCAUUUUAGUAGGUGUAGUAAGCUUUGUAUUCCCAUAAGAGUGAUAUAGAAUAUCAAACGACUUUCUGUAUGGUAUUCUGUUAUCUAAUCUUUAUUGUUGUAACAGGUGGUGAUAU